AGGACGAACGCUGGCGGCGUGCCUAAUACAUGCAAGUCGAACGGUCUUUCUAUGGAAGCUUGCUUCCACUGAGAAGAUAGUGGCGAACGGGUGAGUAACACGUGGGUAACCUGCCCAUAAGAGGGGGAUAACAUCCGGAAACGGGUGCUAAUACCGCAUAGUUUUCUUGAUCGCAUGAUCGGGAAAGGAAAGACGGCCUUUGUGCUGUCGCUUAUGGAUGGACCCGCGGCGUAUUAGUUAGUUGGUGAGGUAACGGCUCACCAAGACGAUGAUACGUAGCCGACCUGAGAGGGUGAUCGGCCACAUUGGGACUGAGACACGGCCCAAACUCCUACGGGAGGCAGCAGUAGGGAAUCUUCCGCAAUGGACGAAAGUCUGACGGAGCAACGCCGCGUGAGUGAAAGAAGGUUUUUCGGAUCGUAAAACUCUGUUGUCAGAGAAGAACAAGUUGGAGAGUAACUGCUCCAGCCUUGACGGUAUCUGACCAGAAAGCCACGGCUAACUACGUGCCAGCCGCCGC
rnacentral:rRNA from 1 species